rnacentral:rRNA from 2 species
UUAAAGUGUUCAGCAGGCAGAUUCAAUUUUCUGCCACCGAAUACAUUAGCAUGGGAUAAUGGAAUAGGACCCUGUCCUCCUCUUUUCAGUUGGUUAAUUUAUGUGCGAGGAUCAGGGUAAUGAUUAAUAGGGAUAGUUGGGGGCAUUAAUAUUUAAUUGUCAGAGGUGAAAUUCUUGGAUUUAUGAAAGAUUAACUUCUGCGAAAGCAUCUGCCAAGGAUGUUUUCAUUAAUCAAGAACGAAAGUUAGGGGAUCGAAGACGAUCAGAUACCGUCGUAGUCUUAACCAUAAACGAUGCCGACCAGCGAUUAGGAGACGUUGAAUACCAAACACCGCUUACGAUAAUUCAGUAUAUGGCUUCACGGAUGUAUAUUGUUUGUCUUUAGUUCAUGGUGAAUGACUCCCCUAGAAGCUUGUGAGAAAAA